CAGAGAAUAGUUUAUUAAAAUAUUAAUUUUGGAGAUUAAUGAUAAGAUUAGUCUUUUCUCU
rnacentral:tRNA from 1 species